AUACGUAGGGGGCGAGCGUUGUCCGGAAUGAUUGGGCGUAAAGGGCGCGUAGGCGGCCCGGUAAGUCUGGAGUGAAAGUCCUGUUUUUAAGAUGGGAAUUGCUUUGGAUACUGUCGGGCUUGAGUGCAGGAGAGGUAAGUGGAAUUCCCAGUGUAGCGGUGAAAUGCGUAGAGAUUGGGAGGAACACCAGUGGCGAAGGCGACUUACUCGACUGUAACUGACGCUGAGGCGCGAAAGUGUGGGGAGCAAACAGGAUUAGAUACCCUGGUAGUCCACACUGUAAACGAUGAAUGCUAGGUGUAGGGGGUAUCGACCCCUUCUGUGCCGCAGUCAACACAAUAAGCAUUCCGCCUGGGGAGUACGGCCGCAAGGUUGAAACUCAAAUGAAUUGACGGGG
rnacentral:rRNA from 1 species